GACAGAGGGGCAUAGUGGUUUGAGCAUUGGACUAAGACUCUGGAGACCAAAGUUCGAAUUCUGGCUUGGCCA